UACGUAGGGUGCGAGCGUUAAUCGGAAUUACUGGGCGUAAAGCGUGCGCAGGCGGUUCGUUAUGUCCGAUGUGAAAGCCCCGAGCUCAACUUGGGAAUGGCAUUGGAAACUGGCGGGCUGGAGUGUGGCAGAGGGGGGUGGAAUUCCACGUGUAGCAGUGAAAUGCGUAGAGAUGUGGAGGAACACCGAUGGCGAAGGCAGCCCCCUGGGCUAACACUGACGCUCAGGCACGAAAGCGUGGGGAGCAAACAGG
rnacentral:rRNA from 1 species